CACAUCCUACGAUGCUCGUGAGCUCUAAAUGUCUUAAACCGAUACUGAUUUUAUGGGAAUUUUAUAUUCUGACUUGGACAACAUGCCCUCUGGGACGUUGGAAGAAUCAGUGCAAAUACCCACCUGCGAGAGUGCGGGAUUUAAGACAAUGGGCAACGACAAAGUGGGAGUAU
rnacentral:other from 1 species